GUGUCGAUGGCGUAGCUGGUUAUCGCAUCUGUCUAACAUAAAAAUGUAAGGUCCUCAGUUCGAACCUGGGUCGACUCA